GCGUGUGUGGUACAGCAGUUAGCAUGGCUGCCUUCCAAGCAGUCGAUCCGGGUUUGACUCCCGGCACACGCA
rfam:Echinococcus multilocularis genomic scaffold, pathogen_EmW_scaffold_01